AGAGUCCUUCUGAGGACUGUGAGGGAGCUUCUGUUCUGUGCCUCUCUCCUAGCUUCUGGUGGUUUGUCGGCAAUCUUUGGCAUUCCUUGGGUUGUAGACAGAUCACCCCAAUCUCUGCCCUCAUGUUCAAAUGGCAUUCUCCCUGUGUGCAUAUCUAUGUCCAAAUUUCCCCUUUUCAUAAGGACACUAGUCAUACUGGUAUAGGGGCCCACCCUAUUUCGGUAUGAGCUCAUAUUAACUAAUUACAUCUGCGGUGACCCUAUUCCCGAAUAAGGUCACAGUAUAAGGUACUGAGGGUCAGGACUUCAACAUAUGAAUUUGAUGGGCACACAAUUCAACCCAUCACAGGUAUAUACCUAAGAGUGGAGUUUCCAGGUCAGAUCAACUACUGAUAAUGCUGUGACAGUGACAUUAUCAGUCUUGGUAUGCAGCUCUCUGGAAUAAUCAUGAUAGCCAUUGGAGUGCAUGGCAUAUUUAGAAUUUGAAAGACUGUUCGAUUGAAACCAGAAAUCUCAAAUCUGAAUGCUCUUUGGCAGAGGAAUAUAGAUUUUAAGACACAGCUCUCUUGUUGGGAAACUGACUCAAAAUCAGGAUUCAUGUGCUUGGUUAAGUGACAGGUAUCUCAGCAAUCAUACCUGAGACGACAGGUGAGAUAAAUAUCACUGAUUCCUCUUACCCAUGUCUUCCCUCUGUGGCCUCUACUGCAUGGGAAAAGGCUCAAAUCCCUGGUGAUAAAAGACUUUUUUUCUGUAAUCCAUUUCUAUCCUAAACAAAUGACCUUUCUUGUGGGCUGUGAUAUUAACAGAUGAGGUCUUUGACAUUGAGAAUCUCAUCAUAAUCUAUUUCAGAGGAGAAAUCAUAGUCACUGGAAGAAGUAUUAUAAUAGACAUUUUAUUAAUAUAAAUGUAAUUUUCUCCCUGCAGUGGAUACUCAAGCAAAAAAAAUAGUAGCUAUCAUUUAUGGAGUUUCUAUUAUGAUUCAGGCAUUGUUCUCGGUGCCAACACGUGCACAUGCUCACACACUUAUUCUUACAAAAAAUUCCUUUGAUAUUGGCAUUAUCUCUAUUUUUCAGAUUAGAAAAAAGAGGUUCAAAGAGGUUAGAUGACUUGUCCAAGAUUAUUGUAUGAAUUAAUGAAUGCAUGUACCACCUUUAUUCCUAGUACUCUAACAGUUGCUGAUUUCAGAAAUCAGUGGGAAGACCUAGGCUGAAGGAAGGAUGGAAUAUGAAGCCAAAAAAGAGAACCAGCUACCAGGGUCCCACACUGACUGCUGUCUUCAAAACUGCCACUCAGCUGGGAAGGGAGGGAUAACCUGAAAAGCUGAAUACAAUAUGACAAGCAUUUACUUGAAGGCAUUGGCAUCAGAAAACAAACAAGGUAAUAAAGAAUUACCAGACAAGAACCAAGAGAAAACAGGAAUCCAGAGGUAAGUUAGGCAUUUGGCACCAUUUUCCUGUUAGUGGUAUUUCUCAUUUUCAGAGGAAGCUGAGAAGCUGGGUGGUUUAGCCUCACCAGGUUGGGUGAAGAAAAGCUGGAGUCCAUGAUCUUAUACCCAGACUUAAGGUUGGGACCCAAAAGGAUUAAGGACUGGAAAUAGACUAGCUUUCUAAAGGACUGCAGCUCAGCCUCAAAGCAUCUCACUCCCCAAAUUGAAUUAAGGUGACCCUGGAUUGCUAGUGCUUCAGACAAAGGUAAAUCUUCAUUGAGGAAAAUGAAAUUAUCCUAAACCUCAAAUUAGUUCCACCAGAAACUUAAAGAAUACAUUAUCCGGCACACAAUCAAAAGUAACUAAACCGGGGCCAGCCCGUGGCUUAGUGGUUGAGUGAGUGCGCUCCGCUGCUGGUGGCCUGGGUUCGGAUCCUGGGCGCGCACUGACGCACCGCUUGUCCAGCCAUGCUGAUGCGGCGUCCCACAUACAGCAACUAGAAGGAUGUGCAACUAUGACCUACAACUAUCUACUGGGACUUUGGGGAGAAAAAGGAAAAAAAAAAAAUGGAGGAGGAUUGGCAAUAGAUGUUAGCCUAGGGCUGGUCUUCCUCAGCAAAAAGAGGAGGAUUGAUGUGGAUGUUAGCUCAGGGCUGAUCUUCCUGACACACACACAAAAAAAACAAAAGUAACUAAACCCAGGAAGAAAUACGGCAACAUGAACAAAACCCACCAGAAACAAUGGACAAUAGAGAUUGUUGCACAUAGGUUCCAGAUAUUUGAAUUAUUGGUCAUAAUACUUAAAACAACUAUGCUUACAAAAUUAAAGGGGAUAAUAAAAGAUAAAAUUAAGAAUUUUGGUAUAAAACUAGAAAUAUGAA